UACGUAGGGGCCUAGCGUUGUCCGGAAUCAUUGGGCGUAAAGAGCGCGUAGGCGGAACGUUAAGUCCGAUCUGAAAGCCCCCGGCUCAACCGGGGAGGGUGGUUGGAAACUGGCGUUCUUGAGGGCGAUAGAGGAAGGUGGAAUUCCUGGUGUAGCGGUGAAAUGCGUAGAGAUCAGGAGGAACACCAGUGGCGAAGGCGGCCUUCUGGGUCGACCCUGACGCUGAGGCGCGAAAGCGUGGGGAGCGAACGGG
rnacentral:rRNA from 1 species